rnacentral:rRNA from 1 species
GAUGAACGCUGGCGGCGUGCCUAAUACAUGCAAGUCGAGCGAAUGGAUUGAGAGCUUGCUCUUAUGAAGUUAGCGGCGGACGGGUGAGUAACACGUGGGUAACCUGCCCAUAAGACUGGGAUAACUCCGGGAAACCGGGGCUAAUACCGGAUAACAUUUUGAACCGCAUGGUUCGAAAUUGAAAGGCGGCUUCGGCUGUCACUUAUGGAUUGACCCGCGUCGCAUUAGCUAGUUGGUGAGGUAACGGCUCACCAAGGCAACGAUGCGUAGCCGACCUGAGAGGGUGAUCGGCCACACUGGGACUGAGACACGGCCCAGACUCCUACGGGAGGCAGCAGUAGGGAAUCUUCCGCAAUGGACGAAAGUCUGACGGAGCAACGCCGCGUGAGUGAUGAAGGCUUUCGGGUCGUAAAACUCUGUUGUUAGGGAAGAACAAGUGCUAGUUGAAUAAGCUGACACCUUGACGGUACCUAACCAGAAAGCCACGGCUAACUACGUGUCAGCAGCCGCGGUAA